CCUGCUCUCUGGAGGAGUUACAGGUAUGGCUGCUAUGUCACAUUUGUUUUACUAGGUGGCAGAGAGGAGAAACGCUAUAGCAAUACUCAAUAUUUUAACCUACGAACAUCUGAUUGAUUAAUUACCUAACAUU